AAAAUACUUGUCGUUACUUUAAUGUUAUUUUUCCCUCUUAGAAAUGCAGUUUUUAGAUGCUGAAGUGUAAAUAAUUUUAAAGCUAGAGUAAAUUAUUGUUUGGCAUAAGAUUUAUCAGUUGGAAUAUAAUUAUCAAGUAAUUUAGGCAUAAGUUUCCUGUACUUUUUUGGUAUUGUCUGUUUCAUAAGUUUUAUAUAUAAAUUUCUCAAAGUAAAAUAUGGUUGAUGUAUUUUUGUAUAUCGCCUAACUUACUUUUUUUCUAGGUACAUAACUUAGUGGCAAUUGAGCUGGCUUAUAUCAACACAAAACAUCCAGACUUUGCUGAUGCUUGUGGGCUAAUGAACAAUAAUAUAGAGGAACAAAGGAGAAACAGGCUAGCCAGAGAAUUACCCUCAGCUGUAUCACGAGACAAGGUAAAAAAUGUUUUUAAUGCGUAUUCCCAAUACCUAAAGAUAGAUUGAUGAGCUCAGAAUAUUAUUCAGUUCUAGGAGUAAUUUUUUCUUCUUUUCCUCCCUUUAACACUCCAUUGGAACUAAUUGAGUAAAGGCAUACAAGUU
rnacentral:sRNA from 1 species